UCUAAACUUAUGUUAGUGUAUACUCAAAAGUAUCCUUAAUAUCACUAUUAAAACAAAACUCAUGCACUCCGAUUUGCAUAAAAGAAAGAGGGCACUAAAUAACGAACAUUCUUGAAAAAAUCGGGAUUUUGACCAAACUUAAUUUUUUUUAGAGGUUAUGAAGGGGUGGCAACUAUCUAAACUUAUGUUAGUGUAUACUCAAAAGUAUCCUUAAUAUCACUAUUAAAACAAAACUCAUGCACUCCGAUUUGCAUAAAAGAAAGAGGGCACUAAAUAACGAACAUUCUUGAAAAAAUCGGGAUUUUGACUAAAUUUCAUUUUUUCUAGAGGUUAUGAAGGGGUGGCAACUAUCUAAACUUAUGUUAGUGUAUACUCAAAAGUAUCCUUAAUAUCACUAUUAAAACAAAACUCAUGCACUCCGAUUUGCAUAAAAGAAAGAGGGCACUAAAUAACGAACAUUCUUGAAAAAAUCGGGAUUUUGACCAAACUUAAUUUUUUUUAGAGGUUAUGAAGGGGUGGCAACUAUCUAAACUUAUGUUAGUGUAUACUCAAAAGUAUCCUUAAUAUCACUAUUAAAACAAAACUCAUGCACUCCGAUUUGCAUAAAAGAAAGAGGGCACUAAAUAACGAACAUUCUUGAAAAAAUCGGGAUUUUGACUAAAUUUCAUUUUUUCUAGAGGUUAUGAAGGGGUGGCAACUAUCUAAACUUAUGUUAGUGUAUACUCAAAAGUAUCCUUAAUAUCACUAUUAAAACAAAACUCAUGCACUCCGAUUUGCAUAAAAGAAAGAGGGCACUAAAUAACGAACAUUCUUGAAAAAAUCGGGAUUUUGACCAAACUUAAUUUUUUUUAGAGGUUAUGAAGGGGUGGCAACUAUCUAAACUUAUGUUAGUGUAUACUCAAAAGUAUCCUUAAUAUCACUAUUAAAACAAAACUCAUGCACUCCGAUUUGCAUAAAAGAAAGAGGGCACUAAAUAACGAACAUUCUUGAAAAAAUCGGGAUUUUGACCAAACUUAAUUUUUUUUAGAGGUUAUAAAGGGGUGGCAACUAUCUAAACUUACGUUAGUGUAUACUCAAAAGUAUCCUUAAUAUCACUAUUAAAACAAAACUCAUGCACUCCGAUUUGCAUAAAAGUAAGAGGGCACUAAAUAACGAACAUUCUUGAAAAAAUCGGGAUUUUGACCAAACUUAAUUUUUUCUAGAGGUUAUGAAGGGGUGGCAACUAUCUAAACUUAUGUUAGUGUAUACUCAAAAGUAUCCUUAAUAUCACUAUUAAAACAAAACUCAUGCACUCCGAUUUGCAUAAAAGUAAGAAGGCACUAAAUAACGAACAUUCUUGAAAAAAUCGGGAUUUUGACCAAACUUAAUUUUUUUUACAGGUUAUGAAGGGGUGGCAACUAUCUAAACUUAUGAUAGUGUAUACUCAAAAGUAUCCUUAAUAUCACUAUUAAAACAAAACUCAUGCACUCCGAUUUGCAUAAAAGUAAGAGGGCACUAAAUAACGAACAUUCUUGAAAAAAUCGGGAUUUUGACCAAACUUAAUUUUUUCUAGAGGUUAUGAAGGGGUGGCAACUAUCUAAACUUAUGUUAGUGUAUACUCAAAAGUAUCCUUAAUAUCACUAUUAAAACAAAACUCAUGCACUCCGAUUUGCAUAAAAGUAAGAGGGCACUAAAUAACGAACAUUCUUGAAAAAAUCGGGAUUUUGACCAAACUUAAUUUUUUUUACAGGUUAUGAAG